UACGUAGGGUCCUAGCGUUGUCCGGAAUUAUUGGGCGUAAAGAGCUCGUAGGCGGCGUGUCGCGUCGGAUGUGAAAGCCCGGGGCUUAACUCCGGGUCUGCAUUCGGUACGGGCAUGCUGGAGUUCGGUAGGGGAGACUGGAAUUCCGUGGUGUAGCGGUGAAAUGCGCAGAUAUCAGGAGGAACACCAAUUGCGAAGGCAGCUCGCUGGGACGUCACUGACGCUGAGACGCGAAAGCGUGGGGAGCAAACAGG
rnacentral:rRNA from 1 species